rnacentral:lncRNA from 1 species
GGAGUGUCAAGCCAUCAGCACUGAUGUUCAGAGCAAAGCUGUGAAAACAAACUGCAGUAGAUUAGUUGGGCUGCUGACCAGGUUAUUUAGUUUUAACCACUUUGUGUGCCCUUACAUCUCAACCAAACAAUUACUCUUUUCCAUUCUUUUAUUUGUUCAUGCACUUAUCAAGGAAAACAGUGUUCACAAGGGGACAUUUUAUUGAAUAGAAUGAUUCAUUUAAGAAGUGUUUCUUUGACUCUAGAAUGCCAAUAUAUUCUGCUCUUUAAUUAAGAGAGCAAAUAACACAGGCAACAUACCAAAGUGCCUGUUAUCUGAAAUUACUUAAUUGUCUGAAAGAGAUAUUAAAGACAACUCUGGAAAUGAUGGAGCUUGAUUCUGCCAUUUGGAACAGUUGUUCUUAUAUUGGUAGCUAUGCUGUUUACAAUAAGGUCACCCAAGUAGUGAGUAUCAUUUCAUGAAAAUCAGUAUUGGAGUACAGCCUUUAAAAUUAAGAUAUAAAAAGAAGAGGCAAAUACUUCAAAGGCCCUUCUGGAGCAGAGCUGUAUUAGAUCACCCAAAUCCCAGGCUGCAGUGAAAAGACUGUGAAGCCCAUGUCUUUUAAAUGGUAAAUUUACUGAAUAUUAGAUGAUGCUCUGAAUUUCAGCUUUACCAUAACUCUCCUAGAGGAACUAACACAAAUGCAGCGAAGUCUGUCAAAGCUAGAAGCCUGCUCUGAGUGCUGUGGAUGGUGUCUGAGACACCACUGUGCAGAAGCAUUUCCCCCCUGUGCAAGAGAAGCCUUUUAUAUUGGAGACUUAUAUGUCAGUUGCUGGUAUGCAAGCACCAGGUCAGCUCAGCAAGUGUCAGUAGCGCUGGGAGUCAGUACAGAUGAGUGACCGGUGUUUUAACAUUAUGUCAAUUUGACCUGCUGUGAGCACAGACAUAUGCUAUUGAAAUUACAACACCGACAGACCAGCUCAAGUAGGGCUCUCCACACGUAAGAGCAACUGGAACUGAGUUACAAUCAGAAAAAAAACAGGAAUUUUCUGCUUGCUAGAACAGCUGUUCCGGGAUUCAACUUUCUGUAUCUACACUUCUCAGCUAUCCUUUGGAUGAGUAUUUCCUUUCCCCUUCUCCAUCCUAAUUUACUUUUCUUUUAGCACAGCUUUCAGUGAGAGACACUUGCCUUUUUCCUCUUCAUAAUAAAAAUGAUGUCCAAAAUAUCUGUUUAAAAACU